rnacentral:rRNA from 1 species
UACGUAGGGCGCAAGCGUUAUCCGGAAUUAUUGGGCGUAAAGAGCUCGUAGGCGGUUUGUCGCGUCUGCCGUGAAAGUCCGGGGCUCAACUCCGGAUCUGCGGUGGGUACGAGCAAACUAGAGUGUUGCAGGGGAGACUGGAAUUCCUGGUGUAGCGGUGAAAUGCGCAGAUAUCAGGAGGAACACCCGGUGGCGAAGGCGGGGUCUCUGGGCAACAACUGACGCUGAGGAGCGAAAAGCGUGGGGGAGCGAACAGG